rnacentral:rRNA from 1 species
AACGAACGCUGGCGGCAUGCCUAACACAUGCGAGUCGAACGAGACCUUCGGGUCUAGUGGCGCACGGGUGCGUAACGCGUGGGAACCUGCCCUUAGGUUCGGAAUAACUCCCCGAAAGGGGUGCUAAUACCGGAUAAUGCCUUCGGACCAAAGAUUUAUCGCCUUUGGAUGGGCCCGCGUUGGAUUAGCUAGUUGGUAGGGUAAAAGCCUACCAAGGCGACGAUCCAUAGCUGGUCUGAGAGGAUGAUCAGCCACACUGGGACUGAGACACGGCCCAGACUCCUACGGGAGGCAGCAGUGGGGAAUAUUGGACAAUGGGCGAAAGCCUGAUCCAGCAAUGCCGCGUGAGUGAUGAAGGCCUUAGGGUUGUAAAGCUCUUUUACCCGGGAUGAUAAUGACAGUACCGGGAGAAUAAGCUCCGGCUAACUCCGUG